AUUUAGCUCAGGUUGACGAGCGGCCCUGAUGACGCGUCCAAGAUGGCCGCCAGGCCCCUGAGCUGUAACUUCCGCUGCCCGACUGUUCGUGACGAUGGAGACCCGAUGGAAGAAAGGAGACUGACUGAAAAUGUUGGAGGAGCAGCAGGAGAAGAACAAGGCUGAAGACAAGCAGAAGACAGAGGACGAAAUGAACAGAACUGCUGAAUGAGCAGAGACACUUGAAGGUCUUGGAGAAGACGAGGAGGACGGAGGAACAUUUGGGCGCAGUUUCCAGACCUGAGGACGGCAGGUUUCUUCUUCUGCUCUGCGGUUACUCUGAGAAGUAACUUUGACAGUUUGGGGGUGGUUCAACUUUUGUCAAAUGUUUGCUGUGCAGCUGAAUUUUAAUAAAGAAUAAUUUGGUAUAACCCCCUGCGUGUGUCUCAUUGAAAGCCCGGGAGGAGACGGACGUCUCUACUCUACCGGGGCGAUGCACACUGAUGAUCCCACAGCGGUGGGAAUCGAACCCGGGUCUGACGCCACCCAAACCGGGGACAGCGCAACCACGCCACCAUGUCAUUCACCCUUAAUCAUGUUUGUUUGUUGCCUUUGACUUCUUCAUGUGACUGAACAACCUCAAAAAUCACCCACCUGCAAAAGGCUAGAACCCACGACCUC